UCUGUCUGAAAAUGUGCCCUAUCUAACUCACUGUUCAUCAUGUUUCAGAUUCUGCUGUACAUUUACGGUCUGUUAAUUUCUUUGAGGCUCUUUUCAGGCUUCUGUAUUUUAUAAUGUCACUAAUGACAAGUGUCAGUUUGUUCAGGUGACAUGUCAAAGGAAAUCAAGGUAAGAAUUAAUGCAUUCAUUUAUUGCUGGUUUAAUCUACUGACCCUGUCACAGUCAACACAUUUCGCUUUAUGAUUUCAACAAGCCACUAGACUUAAGCUGGAACCGGCUUUCCUGUGGUGGACUGAAGUUUUCUGACCAGCGGUUGGUGGACAAGCUACGUGAAAAGAGCAGCCCUGAGUGCCAAGAGUUUUUCUCGGCUCUGGCCCUUUGCCACACUGUCAUGAGCGAGUGGAGGGAUGGUUUGCCUCAUUACCAGGCUGCCUCUCCGGAUGAAGAAGCUCUGGUGUGUGCAGCGCGGGAGCUCGGCUGUGAUUCUCUCCCGCACACAAGAAACUCUCACCAUCAGUGAGAUGGGCCUCAUGCGAAACUAUCAGCUUCUAGCCCUCCUGGACUUCACCAGCAAGAGGAGACGCAUGUCAGUGCUGGAUCCACAGCUCGAAUGAGUCUGUUGAGCUGAAGUCGUGGUUUCAGAGAGGUACCCUACAGCGUAGUUCAUCCUGCAGUGUGCUUCCCUCUACGGUGCCCCCACAGGACAGGAGGGUUACAGCAGAUGGUCUGAAGACAGAAUCUCCACAGGCUUCACAUACAGAAAUGAAUAGUGGUGACGUGUUAUGCUAGCAUCUUCUGUGUGUGUGUUUUUUUUCAUACACAAUGAGCAUCAUAGGGCCAAAUCCC
rnacentral:lncRNA from 1 species